GUCAGCAGGCCGCACACGCGCCGGACCGGGUACCGCUGUGCCCGGCCUGGCCGCGGCCUAGUCCCGGCAGACGGGACUGACGAGGUCACCAAGCCCAGGCCGAGACGGCGCGGGUGUCAGGGACUUGGGAAUCCCCCUCCCCCAGUCCCGAUCCCGCUUUCCUUUGGGGUUUCACCUCAGAGGACCCGACAGCACUCUUGCAGCCGUCUGCCUGUCUUCCUGGCUCGCUCCCUGCAGGAAUGGUCUGGGGCAACCCCAGCAACACGCCCACCUGUGGCCAGGAUGAAUAGGAAUCCAGUUCAGGCUUGGCUUCCAUGGCAAUCAAGGCCCACCAGGCCCCAGCAACCUUCCCUACCCCCCAUUCCUUUUUGCUGCCCCCCUCCACACCAGGCAUGUUCCCUGCCACACCAUGCUGUUCCCCUCACCUGGGCUGCCCUCCCAACUCCUCUCUGCCUCUGGAGAUGCUCUGCCAUUCAAGACUUGGCUCAGGCUCCAGGUCCUCCCUGGGCCUUCUAGAGCCCCUGGUUCUCACUCCUCUGAACACUUCCAGCCUGGCUAAUAGCCCACUGCAUCCU
rnacentral:lncRNA from 1 species